AGGACUACGCGGGUAUCUAAUCCUGUUUGCUACCCACGCUUUCGUGUCUCAGCGUCAGCAAUGGUCCAGAAAGCUGUCUACACCACAGGUGUUCCUCCUGAUAUCUACGCAUUUCACCGCUACACCAGGAAUUCCGCUUUCCUCUCCCACGCUCGAGCACCCCAGUUUCCGGCGCACCCUCCCAGUUAAGCCAGGAGAUUUCACACCGAACUUAGAGCACCGCCUACACACUCUUUACGCCCAGUAAUUCCGAACAACGCUCGCUGCCUACGUAUUACCGCGGCUGCUGACAC
rnacentral:misc_RNA from 1 species